AUUUAGCCAGCUGAGUGGGGAGGAGAGAGGGACAGAGAGCCUGCUUGCUUUAAAGGAGCCAACCGGACAGGACCUGCUUACACCCGCUUUGCUCCUUUAAAGCUAGCAGGCUCUCUGUCCCUCUCUCCUCCCCACUCAGCGGCUCUUCUC
rnacentral:miRNA from 1 species